UAGAGUUUGAUCCUGGCUCAGAUUGAACGCUGGCGGCGUGCCUAACACAUGCAAGUCGAGCGGUAACAGGUGUAGCAAUACAUGCUGACGAGCGGCGAACGGGUGAGUAAUGUUUCGGAAUCUGCCCAAUGGUGGGGAAUAACCAGCCGAAAGGUUGGCUAAUACCGCAUAAGUCCUACGGGAGAAAGCGGGGGAUCGUAAGACCUCGCGCCGAUGGAUGAGCCGAAACCGGAUUAGCUAGUUGGUAGGGUAACGGCCUACCAAGGCGACGAUCCGUAGCUGGUCUGAGAGGACGACCAGCCACACUGGGACUGAGACACGGCCCAGACUCCUACGGGAGGCAGCAGUGGGGAAUAUUGGACAAUGGGGGAAACCCUGAUCCAGCGACGCCGCGUGUGUGAAGAAGGCCUGCGGGUUGUAAAGCACUUUUAGUGGGGAUGAAAAGCUCAGGGCUAACACCUCUGGGUCUUGACCUAACCCACAGAAAAAGCACCGGCUAACUCUGUGCCAGCAGCCGCGGUAAUACAGAGGGUGCAAGCGUUAAUCGGAAUUACUGGGCGUAAAGCGUGCGUAAACGGUAGCGUAAGUCGGGUGUGAAAGCCCCGGGCUCACCCUGGGAAAUGCAUUCCAAACUGCUCUGCUAAGGGGCGGAAAAGGGAACCGGAAUUUCCGGGUACCCGGGAAAUCGUAAAUUUCGGAAGGACCCCAGUGGCGAAAACGGUUUCUUGUCCACACCGAAGUUUAGGGCCAAAAACUGGGGAACAACAGGAUUAAAACCCUUGUA
rnacentral:rRNA from 1 species